GCCCCCACCGGGACCCCCGCCCACUGGUUCCCGCCCCCUCCCACUUCGGGACCCCAAACCCGGCACUUCGGUUCCGGAUCCGCCGCGUACCCUGGAACCCCGACUAGCCGCUCCGCAGCGCGAGGCCGGCAGCAGCUGCGACCCGCAAACCCGGCGGGAAAAAGUUUAGGGAGAAGGAGGCCGAGGUGUCGGGCCGGGGUCCCCACCCGGAGCUUCCCGGCCGGCUCCGGCCCCGCAGGUCCUGCAGAGGCCGCGGGCACUGCCGUGACCUUGAGACGUGGGUCCCCGUCCUCGUGGGGCCGGCGCCCCGCGCCUCAGCGCAGCCGGGAGGGGGCGCCGUGGUCGGGCCGGAGACCCUCCUACGCCGGCGGCGACGCGGGGUCCCUGCGCCCCCCGAGGGUCCCGGACUCGGUGCUCGCCGUGCGCUCCUCGUCCCGGGCCGCAGGUAGGCCGCCCAGAGGGCUAACUCCACGCGGACCCGGCCGCCACCUGUGCCCCGGGACUCUCGGGCCUGCACCCCGUAGGAGCAGUCAUGGGAAGCAGCACGCAGGUUCUGAAGGCACUGCCCGGAUCAUCCCGGAUUCCGGGUGUAUUCCAGGACAGGACCCAGCGACUUAGGAAGCAAAGAAAAUGUCCCGACUGUCCACCCCACUCCGAAGAACGAGGCCUGGGAGGACUACCAGGAAGGCCGGGGCAGCUAGGACCUGCACAGUCCAGCGAGCGCGUGGGCAAAGCUCACUGCCUGGUGGUGUCCAGCUCCGCGGAGCAGAGGGGCUUGUCGGGGCGCACACGCAGGAGCUCGGCUGUCCUCUCCGUCCCGAGGGGAAGGAGGAUUCCCAGAGUACCAACCGCAGCAGGGCCUGUGCUGUCAAGGUCCCGUGAGAAACACCACCUUGUGGAAAACAGUGAAACGGUGUCACCACACACUGGCGGCCUCCCUUCUUUCAUGCUCUAAGCUGUCAGCUCAUGAAAUCUUGCAGGGGCAUUUCUUUCCUCUCCCCGCCUGAUUUCUUGAAGAAAGUCUGAGAUUUUCCUCCAACAGCUAGUUUGUCCAGUACACUGCAACCUGGUCUAGCUUCCAUAAUCGCUACCACUGUGCCUACGUGUUCAACGGAAAAGAGGAAAAAUGUGGAGGAAGAAAAACAGCAGAGAACGGGAAGCUACCAGAGUCCUCUAACACUGAAGAAUGGAAAGGAUGCUCGGAGAAGCCACUUGACAGCCCGCCAACACACGCUUCCGGUUUGCCUUAUCCUCCUUUGUUUUCAGCUAGGAGUAGACAUGGAUUCCUAAAUUUCCUGUUUUCAGAAUCUCAAGAAGCACAUGAAUAGUGUGUACUAAGCACAUUAUUUUUACUUGUUCUGAGAUGGAAGUCCAGACGUGCAAGCUUCUUGGACAAUCCUGGUUCUCUUAGACAAGCGAUGCUGGGGAAAUGACAGCUCCCUUGUUUAGUUUCCUCAUCGUUAAAAUGAAGGAAAUAAUGAAACAGAGUUCCUAGGGUUAUUUUAAGAGAUACAACAGAUACUUGACAAAAUUAAGGACCCUGUAGUGUUAGAAAAGGGUCAAUGACAUUUUAAAAUAUUUUUCAGAAUGUAAAGGAAACUAAUUUAUGAUGGGUUCUACCCGCAUGAAACUCAUAGUAACGCUUUCCCAACAUGACCCUGGGCCCCAGCGCAACAGCAGGUCCCCCACGCUGACUUCCUCGUUCUUCUUCCAAGCCCCAAAUUGAACUUCCUGCUUUUCCCGUGCGCUCCAGCAUUCCCCAAUCAGCUGUCAAUACGUCAUUGUGCCCGCCCCUUCUAACUCCACCCCUGUCAAACUGAUUAAAAACCCACCACUGCGUUGUCUUCCUCUGAGUGAUCUUGCACUUUUCUGGGACCCUCCCAUGCCUGCAAUAAAGACUUUUUUCUCUCAUUUUUUUUUUUCCCUCUUUCUGCUCUUGCUUUUCUACCGUGCAAAGGGAAUACCUAACAAUGUACAGUUAAUUUGGAGUUUCAGACUUGUCUAGAUUUUGCUGCUCCUUGCUUUUCUGUUUGGCUUCUAAUUUGAAAUACAUAUAUGUAUAUAUACUCAAAUGCCUCGAAUUUUAGGGAAAAUGCUUUAAAAACAGCUGAGUUAUGGCUGGGAAUUUAGCUCAGUGGUGUAAGCACCUGUAUGGCAAGUGUAAGGUCAUGAGUUCAAUCUGGUACCAAAAAAAUCAAAACAAAAAAAAUAGCCAAGUUCUAUGAAAAAAAAUUUUUUGGAGAGACCAGACAUGUGAUUUGCUUCUUACCAUUUAUUAUGGUUUUAAAUUUUACUUCACUGAGGUAAGAACAUGUGACAGGAAAUGUAGUCUCCUGUCUGGGUUUACAUGUGAACAUAGUAUUGGAAGCUUCAUGCUUUGCCAGUUUUGAACCUGGCAUCUGCUUAUCACCUCUGUGUCUCUUGGUGUUUUCCAUCUGAGUUAACGGUCACUGCCUGUUCUUUGCCAUCCUUUGUGCCACCCCCAGACUUUGCCAGGUGGCUGCCUAGGGUGACUGGCUUGGGUCUUCACCCCUUAGAAGUCACCUUGACAGUGGAACUGGGAAAUUCAAGAAGUGUUUCCCCAGGGAGAUAGAAAGUCAUAUAAAAACCAUGUCAGUGCCAAAGCCAAGGGAGUUUUAUCAUAAUAUGAGAAGUCAGAAGUUCGUAAUUUUUGUAGCGUGGAUUCAUCUAGCUGUUUUACCUGGAAGUAAGUCUCUGAAACUUCAUCAGCUUAAAAUAAAGGUUAAACCUUAUGAAAAAUUUAAAUAAAAAGAAACAGACUUAUCUAAGAGUGUUUGGCUGUGUAUUUAUUUGAUCAUUCAUUUAUCCUACUAAUUUCA
ensembl:lincRNA